GCAAUGGCCUGACGUAACAAUCCCGCGCAUAAUGACCAGUGACCAAUCGCCGGUGAGCAUUCAUUAGCGUCCCAACUUUACGAAGAUGAGGAAGCAUUUGAGACAAGCGACUAGAACAGAACGUUCUGAAGACUUUACAAGCUGCACGAACCGCAGAAAAACAGAAGAGACAGCAGGCUUUACAAGCUGCACAAAAGAAUCAGCCGAACUGGCGGUAAGUACGCGGUCGGCAGAAACGCAUGCAUCGCAAAGCUGUAUAGAAGUGGCGAAUGCAUGCCAAGUUUCGCCCUGUAGCUCGCUGUCAGCUCCGUUG